GGUUAAGCGAAUAAGCGUACACGGUGGAUGCCUAGGCAAUCAGAGGCGAUGAAGGACGUGCUAAUCUGCGAAAAGCGUCGGUAAGGUGAUAUGAACCGUUAUACCCGACGAUAUCCGAAUGGGGAAACCCAGUAUCCAAUGGAUACUAUCAUUAACUGAAUUCAUAGGUUAAUGAGGCGAACCGGGAGAACUGAAACAUCUCAGUACCCCGAGGAAAAGAAAUCAACCGAGAUUCCCCUAGUAGCGGCGAGCGAACGGGGAGCAGCCCAGAGUCUUAAUCAAUAGCAGUGUCAGGAGAACGGUCUGGAAAGUCCGGCAGUAAAGGGUGAUAGCCCCGUAUCUGAAGAUGCUGUUAUUGUGAACUCGACGAGUAGGGCGGGACACGUGUUAUCCUGUCUGAAUAUGGGGGGACCAUCCUCCAAGGCUAAAUACUCCUGAUUGACCGAUAGUGAACCAGUACCGUGAGGGAAAGGCGAAAAGAACCCCGGCGAGGGGAGUGAAAAAGAACCUGAAACCGUGUACGUACAAGCAGUAGGAGCCUCUUUAUGGGGUGACUGCGUACCUUUUGUAUAAUGGGUCAGCGACUUAUAUUCUGUAGCAAGGUUAACCGCAUAGGGGAGCCGUAGGGAAACCGAGUCUUAACUGGGCGAAUGAGUUGCAGGGUAUAGACCCGAAACCCGGUGAUCUAUCCAUGGGCAGGUUGAAGGUUGGGUAACACUAACUGGAGGACCGAACCGACUAAUGUUGAAAAAUUAGCGGAUGACUUGUGGAUGGGGGUGAAAGGCCAAUCAAACCGGGAGAUAGCUGGUUCUCCCCGAAAGCUAUUUAGGUAGCGCCUCGUGAACUCAUCUUCGGGGGUAGAGCACUGUUUCGACUAGGGGGUCAUCCCGACUUACCAACUCGAUGCAAACUGCGAAUACCGAAGAAUGUUAUCACGGGAGACACACGGCGGGUGCUAACGUCCGUCGUGAAGAGGGAAACAACCCAGACCGCCAGCUAAGGUCCCAAAGUCAUGGUUAAGUGGGAAACGAAGUGGGAAGGCUCAGACAGCCAGGAUGUUGGCUUAGAAGCAGCCAUCAUUUAAAGAAAGCGUAAUAGCUCACUGGUCGAGUCGGCCCGCGCGGAAGAUGUAACGGGGCUAAACCAUGCACCGAAGCUGCGGCAGCGACACAAUGUGUUGUUGGGUAGGGGAGCGUUCUGUAAGCCUGCGAAGGUGUACUGUGAGGUAUGCUGGAGGUAUCAGAAGUGCGAAUGCUGACAUAAGUAACGAUAAUGCGGGUGAAAAACCCGCACGCCGGAAGACCAAGGGUUCCUGUCCAACGUUAAUCGGGGCAGGGUGAGUCGACCCCUAAGGCGAGGCUGAAAAGCGUAGUCGAUGGGAAACGGGUUAAUAUUCCCGUACUGGUGGUAACUGCGAUGGGGGAACGGAGAAGGCUAGGUUGUCCGGGCGACGGUCGUCCCGGUUCAAGCAGGUAGGCAGAGUGAUUAGGCAAAUCCGGUCACUUAAUGCUGAGAUGUGAUGACGAACCACUAAGGUGGUGAAGCAAUUGAUGCCCCGCUUCCAGGAAAAGCCUCUAAGCUUCAGGUUACCAACAAUCGUACCCCAAACCGACACAGGUGGUCAGGUAGAGAAUACUCAGGCGCUUGAGAGAACUCGGGUGAAGGAACUAGGCAAAAUGGUGCCGUAACUUCGGGAGAAGGCACGCUGGCGGUAGGUAAAGUCCCUCGCGGACAGAGCUGAAGCCAGUCGAAGAUACCAGCUGGCUGCAACUGUUUAUUAAAAACACAGCACUGUGCAAACACGAAAGUGGACGUAUACGGUGUGACGCCUGCCCGGUGCUGGAAGGUUAAUUGAUGGGGUUAGCGCAAGCGAAGCUCCUGAUCGAAGCCCCAGUAAACGGCGGCCGUAACUAUAACGGUCCUAAGGUAGCGAAAUUCCUUGUCGGGUAAGUUCCGACCUGCACGAAUGGCGUAAUGAUGGCCAGGCUGUCUCCACCCGAGACUCAGUGAAAUUGAACUCGCUGUGAAGAUGCAGUGUACCCGCGGCAAGACGGAAAGACCCCGUGAACCUUUACUAUAGCUUGACACUGAACAUUGAGCCUUGAUGUGUAGGAUAGGUGGGAGGCUUUGAAGUGUGGACGCCAGUCUGCAUGGAGCCAACCUUGAAAUACCACCCUUUAACGUUUGAUGUUCUAACCUAGGCCCGUAAUCCGGGUCGGGGACCGUGUCUGGUGGGUAGUUUGACUGGGGCGGUCUCCUCCUAAAGAGUAACGGAGGAGCACGAAGGUUGGCUAAGCAUGGUCGGACAUCAUGCGGUUAGUGCAAAGGCAUAAGCCAGCUUGACUGCGAGAGUGACGGCUCGAGCAGGUACGAAAGUAGGUCUUAGUGAUCCGGUGGUUCUGAAUGGAAGGGCCAUCGCUCAACGGAUAAAAGGUACUCCGGGGAUAACAGGCUGAUACCGCCCAAGAGUUCAUAUCGACGGCGGUGUUUGGCACCUCGAUGUCGGCUCAUCACAUCCUGGGGCUGAAGUAGGUCCCAAGGGUAUGGCUGUUCGCCAUUUAAAGUGGUACGCGAGCUGGGUUUAGAACGUCGUGAGACAGUUCGGUCCCUAUCUGCCGUGGGCGUUGGAAGAUUGAGAGGGGUUGCUCCUAGUACGAGAGGACCGGAGUGAACGCACCACUGGUGUUCGGGUUGUCAUGCCAAUGGCAUUGCCCGGUAGCUAAGUGCGGAAGAGAUAACCGCUGAAAGCAUCUAAGCGGGAAACUUGCCUCGAGAUGAGUCUUCCCUGUCGCUUAAAGCGACCUAAAGGAACGUUUAAGACGAAGACGUUGAUAGGCUGGGUGUGUAAGCGUAGCGAUACGUUGAGCUAACCAGUACUAAUGAACCGUGAGGCUUAACCUG
rnacentral:rRNA from 1 species